GGGGUGAUGAUGCACAGCGGGCAGUGGUACUGAGGUACAGCUCAGCUCCUGGUCAACCAUGGGUUAACAAAGGGAGCACCCAGCAUUCUCCGGCACACAUGGACUCAGGUGACACAGAAGGAAGACCCGGCCUGUCCGCAGGAGGAGGACUCUGGCCUGUCCGCAGGAGGAGGACCCGGCCUGUCCUCAGGAGGAGGACCUGGCCUGUCUGCAGGAGGAGGACCCGCCCUGUCCUCAGGAGGAGGACUCUGGCCCGCCCCCUUUUCUGUCUCUCAUUUUCUGCUAGCUAUGUUCUUGUGGCUCAGCUUCACAUUGCUAUGACAAAUGUCUCGGGUAAUCAGCGUAGGAAGAGAUCAGGUUCCCUGUCUUCUUGUUUCCAGAGGCCACAUUAUUGCUAUUCCCAGGUUUUAUUUUUGAAAAGAUCUGUCCUUGUUAAUUCUAG